rnacentral:rRNA from 1 species
GCUUACAGAAAUACCAUGUUCAAUGAACGACAUCCCGUCCGAUCUGUCAAGUUAAGCGACGUUGAGCCUCGUUGGUGUUUGGAUCGGAGACGGCUUGGGAAUCCCAGAUGCUGUAAGCG